GACGCCUCCAUUUAUUAAAAAUUCCUCUAUUUCUUCGAAAAUAAUUUUCACCUUAGCGUUUAAUAUGUCAUUAUGACCUUCCAGUACGUCAGAGUACGACAUAGUUUUAUGAAUCGAAUACAAAUAAAAAUAAGAGGUUAUACGCUUACUAGUUUUUUUCAAUACUGCCCUACCUCCUGAUAAAAAUAGUUAUUUUUCAUUUCCGUAAUUUUAAUGUAUACCUACAAUGUAAUAUAUU